rnacentral:rRNA from 1 species
AAACAUCUUUUCUUGUAUUUUAUUUGAGAUUUGACCUGCCCAAUGAUUAUUAUUUAAUGGCCGCGGUAUUUUGACCGUGCAAAGGUAGCAUAAUCAUUAGUUUAGUAAUUUUAAGCUUGUAUGAAUGGUUGGACGAAAUAUUUACUGUCUCGUAGGUUUAUAUAGAAUUUAAAUUUUUAGUUAAAAUGCUUAAAUUUAUUUAUUGGACGAGAAGACCCUAUAGAUCUUUAUUUUUAUUUAAUUAUUUUAUUUUGGUUUAUUAUAUUAUUUAUAUUUAAAUUAUAGUUUUGUUGGGGUGACAUGGGGAUAUGAUUAACUCUUUAUUUAAUUUAUUCAAUUAUUUUUGUUUAUUUGACCUUUUAUUAUUGUUAUAAGAUAUAGAUACCUUAGGGAUAACAGCGUUAUUUUUUUUGAGAGUUCUUAUCGACAAGAAAGAUUGCGACCUCGAUGUUGGAUUAAGAUUAUAUUUAGGUGUAGUAGCUUAAAAUUUAGGU